GCGCUACACGUGUAUGAUUUCGCAGAAGAAAAUGUCGACCGAUGUGGAACGGCCUGAAGACCCUAAAGCCUGUCUGUCAUGCAGAAUUAUCAGCGGCAUAACUUUGACUUGUGCAGGACUAUAUAUAGGCUACCAUGGUUAUCGAUUUAAAGGUUACAGCCAAGGUGGUAUGUUGGCAAUCGCAACAGUAAUCACAGGGUUUGGAGUUGCUCGAUUAGUCGAUUCGGAGGGACGUUUGUAUGACAGCUUCCGAACAUCCUGAACUUAUGUAUGUUACACCUAAGAAGUUUGACAUUGUUAUUUGCUUCUAGAAAAAUGAGAAUCCCGAUAGAAUCAUGUCAUAUAUUAAAUAAUAUACAUUUAAAACUCA